GACGUAGGGCGCGAGCGUUGUCCGGAUUUAUUGGGCGUAAAGAGCUCGUAGGCGGCUUGUCGCGUCGACUGUGAAAACCCGUGGCUCAACCAUGUGGUCUGCAGUCGAUACGGGCAGGCUAGAAUUCGGUAGGGGAGACUGGAAUUCCUGGUGUAGCGGUGAAAUGCGCAGAUAUCAGGAGGAACACCAGCGGCGAAGGCGGCGCUCUGGGCCGGAACUGACGCUGAGGAGCGAAAGCGUGGGUAGCAAACAGG
rnacentral:rRNA from 1 species